AUGACGACGAGCCAGGACGUGGUUGUUUCGGAGAUGGGCAUUGGGGCGGGCGGGGCGGCCAUGCCGGGCUCCGGCGCCGCGGGCCUCUUCGCGUGCCGCAGCGCCGCCAGCGCCGGGGCCAUGUCCAUGCGGCAGACGUACCGCGACCUCGCCGCCGCCGCCGCGCGCUCCGCGAACUGCACAUGGGCCGAGCUCGAGGCCAUGCGCGCCGCCUCGCCCACCCGCUCCCGCCCCGGCGCCGACGUCGACGAGCUCACGGCCUGGAUGAGGAAGCACCCGUCGGCGCUAAGCAAGUUCGAGCAAAUCGCCAGCGCGUCUAAGGGGAAGAAGAUCGUCAUGUUCCUGGACUACGACGGCACCCUCUCGCCCAUCGUCGCCAACCCCGACGCCGCCUACAUGAGCGACGCGAUGAGGGAGGCGGUGCGCGACGUUGCGAAGCACUUCCCGACGGCGAUCGUGAGCGGGCGGUGCCGCGACAAGGUGCACAACUUCGUCGGCCUCUCCGAGCUGUACUACGCCGGCAGCCACGGCAUGGACAUCAAGGGACCAGGCUCCAAUCCCGAGUCUGUGCUGUGCCAGCCCGCAAGCGAGUUCCUCCCCAUGAUCGACGAGGUGUACAAGGUGCUUGUGGAAAAGACGAAGUCCACACCUGGAGCCAAGGUGGAGAACAACAAGUUCUGCCUGUCCGUCCACUUCAGAUGUGUGGAUGAAAAGAGAUGGAACUUCUUGGCUGAGCAGGUCAAGGCCGUGAUCAAGGACUUUCCCAUGCUGAAGCUCACCCAAGGGAGGAAGGUCUUCGAGCUCCGGCCCAGCAUUAUGUGGGACAAGGGCAAGGCGCUGGAGUUCCUGCUUGAAUCGCUAGGAUUCGCCAGCUGCAGCGACGUCCUGCCGGUGUACAUCGGCGACGACCGCACCGACGAGGACGCCUUCAAGGUGCUGCGGAAGAGGGGCCAGGGCGUGGGGAUCCUGGUGUCCAAGUGCGCCAAGGAGACCAGCGCGUCCUACUCGCUGCAGGACCCGGCGGAGGUCAUGGAGUUCCUGCUCCGGCUCGUGGAGUGGAAGCGGAGGUCGUCGACGGCGGCGCCGCCCAUGGUCCGGCCGCGGGUGUAA
rnacentral:rRNA from 1 species